UGUCAAGGCACAAGGCUUGGCGCAGGG
rnacentral:piRNA from 1 species